rnacentral:rRNA from 1 species
GGCCCGGUUGACUGGUCCGCUUCGGUGAGUACUGGUCUGACCGGGCUUUUCCUUCUGGGGAGCCAGUGUGCCCUUUACUGGGUGCGCUGGGGAUCCAGGACUUUUACCUUGAAAAAAUUAGAGUGUUCAAAGCAGGCUUAUGCUUGAAUAGAUUAGCAUGGAAUAAUAGAAUAGGACUUU